rnacentral:rRNA from 1 species
AGUGUAGGCGGCUUCGUAAGUCGGAUGUGAAAGCCCUGGGCUUAACCUGGGAAUGGCAUUCGAUACUGCGCGGCUAGAGUCUGAUAGAGGGAAGUGGAAUUCCAGGUGUAGCGGUGAAAUGCGUAGAGAUCUGGAGGAACACCAGUGGCGAAGGCGGCUUCCUGGAUCAAGACUGACGCUGAGGCUCGAAAGCGUGGGGAGCAAACA